rnacentral:rRNA from 1 species
UGGGGAAUAUUGCACAAUGGGCGAAAGCCUGAUGCAGCGACGCCGCGUGAGGGACGACGGCCUUCGGGCUGUAAACCUCUUUCGACAGGGACGAAGCGAGAGUGACGGUACCUGUAUAAGAGGCACCGGCCAACUACGUG